AGAACCACUUUAAUAAAAUUGACAAAACAUAUUAAUGCUUAAUGUAUUGCAAACAUUUGCAGCAGGGAUUCAGAUAAAAAAAUCGGCAGCUGGCAGCAGGAAGUGGCUGCCAUUGACAGCCGGAAGGUAGGCGGGACCUGCCAAUCGGUGGCAGCCAAUCAGUAUCGACCAAAGUGGGCGCAACCAAUCAGAUAUAACUGCACCCAAAUGCUUGAGUAAUGGUUGCGACUGAUCAAACGUUGCCAGAUGCUGUCCUGUUGGUAAUUCUUCUUUACGUGAUCUUGGAGGAGGGUGAUGCUACAUUAUUAAGUCUGUCUUUGGUUUGUUCCAAAUUCAGAAGUCUGUUGUACUGUAUAGACUCCUUUCAAAAGAGGGCACAAUUCAGCUGGCUUGACGGUGUAACAAAAUGGAGAACAGGUCUAAGCCAUUCCAGGAAUUCAGCAAAAUGUACACCAAGCAGACACUGCGAUGAAGUUUACAACAACUGCUUACCAGGUGUGCAAAUUAUGCAUGAAAAUGUAAUCACUGCUCUGUACAUGAUGACAAGAUGCAAUGGGAAUAAUCAUUAAUAUAGC